CGGGACUACGUCAACUGCUGG
rnacentral:miRNA from 1 species